rnacentral:rRNA from 1 species
CCCUUUGUGAACAUACCUUAACUGUUGCUUCGGCGGGUAGGCGUCCCCUAAAAAGGACGUCUCCCGGCCCUCUCCCGUCCGCGGGUGGGGCGCCCGCCGGAGGAUAACCAAACUCUGAUUUAACGACGUUUCUUCUGAGUGACACAAGCAAAUAAUCAAAACUUUUAACAACGGAUCUCUUGGUUCUGGCAUCGAUGAAGAACGCAGCGAAAUGCGAUAAGUAAUGUGAAUUGCAGAAUUCAGUGAAUCAUCGAAUCUUUGAACGCACAUUGCGCCCGCCAGCAUUCUGGCGGGCAUGCCUGUUCGAGCGUCAUUUCAACCCUCAAGCUCUGCUUGGUGUUGGGGCUCUACGGUUGACGUAGGCCCUUAAAGGUAGUGGCGGACCCUCUCGGAGCCUCCUUUGCGUAGUAACAUUUCGUCUCGCAUUGGGAUUCGGAGGGACUCUAGCCGUAAAACCCCCAAUUUUACUAAGGUUGACCUCGGAUCAGGUAGGAAUACCCGCUGAACUUAAGCAUAUCAAAAGCGGGGAAGGGAAAUCAUUACUGAG